rnacentral:lncRNA from 1 species
GUGAGGGAGGAGGAAGAGGUGAGGGAGGAGGAAGAGGUGAGGGUGGAGGAAGAGGUGAGGGUGGAGGAAGAGGUGAGGGAGGAGGAAGAGGUGAGGGAGGAGGAAGAGGUGAGGGAGGAGGAAGAGGUCAGGGAGUGUCACUACAGACCCGGGUUCGAUCCCAGGCUGUGUCACAACCGGCUGUGACCGGGAGUCCCAUAGGGCGGUGCACAUUUGGCCCAAUGUCGUCUGGGUUAGGGGAGGGUUUGACUGGGGAGGGCCUUACUUGGCUCAUCGCGCUCUAGCGACUCUUUGGCCUGCC